ACACGGCAACUCCCCACCAAAACCGAAAUCCGACCCAUCCAAAAUGCCCCCAAAAUCCGAAACCCAGCCCCCAACCACCGCCACAACCACCACCCCCUACGACCCAUCCUCCGCCUCCAUCGACCCGCUUUUCCUCUUCAUUCGGAUCCUCCCCUACAGCUUCCUCCGCCCGCCUCGACUCCGACUCAAGCUCCCAUCCCUCACCCUCCCCUCCCCCAUGACCGUCUACGCCCUCGUUCUCCUCACCUACUUCAUGGUCGUCUCCGGAAUCAUCUACGAUGUCAUUGUCGAGCCUCCAGGCAUCGGAUCUACCCAGGACCGCCUCACGGGUUCGGUCCGACCCGUCGUCUUCCUUCAGGGCCGGGUCAACGGGCAGUACAUAAUCGAGGGUCUGUCGUCCGGGUUCAUGUUCGUGCUGGGUGGGAUCGGCAUUGUGCUGAUGGACUUGGCCCUGGAUCGAAACCGAGCCAAGAGUGUGAAAGUCUCGUAUGCCACUGCAGGGAUAUCUUCGGUCGUUUUGGCCUAUGUUAUGAGUAUGCUCUUUAUUCGUAUCAAGAUCCCGGCUUAUCUUCAUUAGCUAGCUAAUUAGCACCUUAAUU
rnacentral:lncRNA from 1 species